ensembl:lncRNA
UGUGACCACUAAACAAUUGUAGCCACCCAUUGUUUUUGUCGGCAAAACAAAUAUAGGCUGAUAGUUUGUAUAAAAACUGGACUCAGGAAUGAUCUCAUUUAGAGAGGGACAAACUCACCUCUGUCAACUUUCACAGGUCUGGCGGCUUAAGAUAAAAAUGGCAAAGGACUGUUUAAUGAAGCAAUACACCAACUUAGGGGAGAACAGUGAUCGACGUGAAAAGCUCAUCUGCGAGGAGAAGGAGAUGUUGGCCUCUCUGGAUAAGGAGAAAACUCUGUUAGAGAGCAGGAUUCAAGAGACGUCAGCGGUCCCCGGUGGCAUCCUGCAGCACCAAGGGGACCACAAACGCGACUUGAAGCACAUCAACGACUUAGAGCGCAAACUCCACCUGGAAACUAUUACAUUUAAUAAGGUUAUGUGCAGGAACACAGAAUACCGUAAAGCAGUUGAACACCUGCUACAGAUGAAAGACUCACUGUGCAAAAGUGAGUCCAACAGACAGUUGGCCCAUCAGAAAAUCCUGUCAGAGAAACUGGAGCAGGAUCUUGCCCUCCUUUUCGACCGGAGGUUACAUGUCGAGACCCGCAUUUCGGAGUUGGAGGAGGACCUCAAGGUGGAGACGGCUCAGUUCAUGACGAGAAGGUCGGCGCUGGAGACGCUCAUCAAUGCCCAACUGCAGAAAUUCCUGAAGACAAAACUCCGUAAAUUUCCUCCUUUGGAAAAAAAUGAAGACUCAACGAAGAAAAAGAACAAAACACCACACCUGAAUGGCGCUGAGAACCUGGAGAUGUACAAGCAGGGCUACAGAACGCUAGUGGAGGUCACCGGGGAGACGGAGCUGUGUCAAAUGGGCCUCGUGAUUGCCCAGAAGGAGCAGAAAAAUGUCACUCUUACCAAGUACAUCAAUGAGCUGGAUAACAGAAAGCACAUGCUGACGAACAAAACCGAGCAGUUAAAGAGUGAUAUCCUGUCCUUGGAAGAAGAGAACAGAAGACAUGAUGAUCAAAUCAAGAAGCAUCUGCAGCCUGAGCUGGAGGAGAAUAGCUGUCAGUCAGAGGCCCUGGAGAAGCAGCACGCUGCGGUUCAGAAGACACUGGACCAGCUGGCGGCCGCCAUCAGCGACCUUUUAGGCGACGUGAUGCGAGAAGUUGUCGUCGUCAAUUCUGACAACAUUGUACACAAUAUCGGUAUCCUUGAGGAGAGAGUUGGUCACCUGCUGCUCCAGGCCAACAAUGCCAGCAACGAGAGGAUUAUGUUACUUCAGAACAUGCUUUUGGCCAACUUUGACUUGCUACCAGGAGAGGAGGAAGUCAUGGAAACGCCACGCAGCAGGUCUGCUUCACGUUCACCCAAGGAAACCCGAUAAGACAGAAGAUGGUGUCGUCUCAUCCUUCCUCCCUCCGCAGGGGUUCAACAGCCUCUCACACAGUCUAGGUGGCAAUAAACAACUCACGACGGCGUUA